rnacentral:rRNA from 1 species
GGCCAGACUCCUACGGGAGGCAGCAGUGGGGAAUAUUGCACAAUGGGGGAAACCCUGGUGCAGCGACGCCGCGUGAGUGAAGAAGUAUUUCGGUAUGUAAAGCUCUAUCAGCAGGGAAGAAAAUGACGGUACCUGACUAAGAAGCCCCGGCUAACUACGUGCCAGCAGCCGCGGUAAUACAUAGGGGGCAAGCGUUAUCCGGAAUUACUGGGUGUAAAGGGAGCGUAGACGGUGAAGUAAGUCUGGAGUGAAAGGCGGGGGCCCAACCCCCGGACUGCUCUGGAAACUAUUUGACUGGAGUGCAAGAGAGGUAGGCGGAAUUCCUAGUGUAGCGGUGAAAUGCGUAGAUAUUAGGAGGAACACCAGUGGCGAAGGCGGCUUACUGGACUGUAACUGACGUUGAGGCUCGAAAGCGUGGGGAGCAAACAGGAUUAGAUACCCCUGUA